rnacentral:rRNA from 1 species
GGGAUAACACUUGGAAACAGGUGCUAAUACCGUAUAACAACAAAAUCCGCAUGGAUUUUGUUUGAAAGGUGGCUUCGGCUAUCACUUCUGGAUGAUCCCGCGGCGUAUUAGUUAGUUGGUGAGGUAAAGGCCCACCAAGACSAUGAUACKUARCCGACCUGAKAGGGUAAUCSGCCACAUUGGGACUGAAACRCGGSCCAAACUCCUACGGGAGGCAGCAGUAGGGAAUCUUCCACAAUGGACGAAAGUCUGAUGGAGCAAUGCCGCGUGAGUGAARAAGGGUUUCGGCUCGUAAAACUCUGUUGUUAAAGAAGAACACCUUUGAGAGUAACUGUUCAAGGGUUGACGGUAUUUAACCAGAAAGCCACGGCUAACUACGUGCCAGCAGCCG